rnacentral:sRNA from 1 species
AAGGCUGCGUGCGUGCGUGCGUGCGUGCAUGCGUGUGUCUUUCAUUCGGGAAUUCUGGAACUCAGAACACUGGAGCAUGUCAGAUUUGAGUAGCUUUAAUCACCCAUAGCAACACCAGAGUUCUCAGUGGACCUGAGCAGAUCCCUCCAGUUACCUCAGUAGUGCGCAGCAGUGUGCGGAGAUCCCUGGGGCUCCCUGGAUAUAGCUCUCCUGUUUGUCCACAGAUCUGGCUGCAGUUGUCUUUAGAGAAUAAUGGCCUCCUUUCUUUAGCUCUCCAAAGUGAGAUACAAGUGUGUCUCAUGACCUGGAACUGUUGAUGGCAGCAGAGAUGAGCUGAUGACAGCCUAUGCUGCUCCCCACAGCAGUCCUGAGAGUUCUUUCAAGAGACCUCCAUUCAGUUAAAGCUGAUUUUGUCACAGAAAAGAAUUUCAGAGUGGGCCAGUGUGGUAGUUUGAGAAUCAGGCUGUAACUGUCAGCUAUUGCUGACAUACAUCUGCCUGCAUGCCCCCGUGACCCCACUGUGAAGAAGAAGAUGACCUGAGCCACUGAAACUUCACAAAGAGCUCCUGAGUCUCGCUCAUAUGCAAAGGGAAGAUGGUGAGAACGAAGCUUCACUUUGUAGAGAUGAGGACAUCUACACAGGACUCUUCUGAAAGACAAAAAGUCCACCAUUUUAAUUACAGGACUUAAAAUUAACUUGAUAAGCUUCUCCUCCUGCUCCACACUGCUCCCAGCGGCUCCCUGGCUACACUGGGCUGGCUUGGCUGCUGUCCCCAGCCGCCACCACAAUCAUCUACUGGGACCUUAUCAGCCACAACAAGAUGUUCUCUGAUAUCUACAAGAUCCAGGAGACAGAGAAUGGGCUAUGCCUGGAGGAAAGAGGUCAAGACAGUCAGUAGAACAGAGGGUAAUAUUGAUGCCUCAAUACUGGUGGAACUCCUUCUGCUACAGAUAGAGGGCGGAGGUUCUGGAAGCACAGUUGAUGUCAUGAAACCACCACUAACGAGAAAACGGUGACACAAAAGUACAUCAAAGAUGACAUGAAAUAAUUCAAAGGCAAACUUGAAGAACAAACCCAGGAAGAAUGAAACUGUGAACACAGGAAUCCAGAUAGCAUGGUGUUCGCCCAGACUACUGUGAAGAUGGUGUGACUCCAUUUAUGCUUUCUUUAAAGGGUGCUUUAGAGAUGGAAAAAUGUUAACAAAUUGGGCGAUUACUUUGAAUCUAUCAUCUGUCAUCAUAUCUGGCUGGUGUUUGUCACCCAUAUAACACCAGGACUUUAGACAAAUGGGACUGAUGUCAUCUUGAGCUUUUAUUUUGCCCUUGACAUAUUUAGAGUUGAGGUAUUGCUUUGUAAGAAAAUAAAAAAAGAGUCGUUAGGUUGUCUUUAAAUAGAGUGCAUUUAAGCUUAAAAAAUGCAAAGCAAGAUAAAAAUAAGGUCAUGAACUGGUUAGAAUCACAUUUAAUGAUUCACUAGGGCUGGAGAGAUGGCUCAGUGGUUAAGGACACUGCUCUUCCAGAGGUCCUGAGUUCAAUUCCCAGCAACCACAUGGUGGCUCGCAGCCAUCACCAUUUAGAGAUGGAAAAAUGUUCUGGUGUCUUCUGAUGUCUGAAGAAAGCUACAGUGUGCUCACAUACAUAAAAUGAAUAAACUCUUUUAA